rnacentral:rRNA from 1 species
GCGCACUGGCCCAACUGAUCUGACGUGCUUGCGCUGAAGUGACGAUCCAUUACCAGUGAGCGGCGGACGGGUGAGUAACACGUGGGCAACCUGCCCUGAAGCGGGGGAUAACAUUUGGAAACAGGUGCUAAUACCGCAUAACAACGAAAACCACAUGGUUUUCGUUUCAAAGAUGGUUUCGGCUAUCACUUCAGGAUGGGCCCGCGGUGCAUUAGCUUGUUGGUAGGGUAACGGCCUACCAAGGCAAUGAUGCAUAGCCGAGUUGAGAGACUGAUCGGCCACAAUGGAACUGAGACACGGUCCAUACUCCUACGGGAGGCAGCAGUAGGGAAUCUUCCACAAUGGGCGCAAGCCUGAUGGAGCGACACCGCGUGAGUGAAGAAGGGUUUCGGCUCGUAAAGCUCUGUUGUUGAAGAAGAACGUGCGUGAGAGCAACUGUUCACGCAGUGACGGUAUUCAACCAGAAAGUCACGGCUAACUACGUGCCAGCAGCCGCGGUAAUACGUAGGUGGCAAGCGUUAUCCGGAUUUAUUGGGCGUAAAGCGAGCGCAGGCGGUUGCUUAAGUCUGAUGUGAAAGCCUUCGGCUUAACCGAAGAAGUGCAUCGGAAACUGAGCGACUUGAGUGCAGAAGAGGACA